UAACCCCAUCACCCACAAUACUUGUGAGUGGACUUGGCAGUCCCAGUCUGGGUCUGCCGAAUUGCAGCAGUUGCUAUCAGGACCCGCCUUUGGCGUGGCCAUUCAGUUUGGUAGGUAACCCCUGGUUGCAUGCCACUGUUGGCCAUUGUGGCCUGUUGUAGUACACUGGCAGGAAACCAAGGGCCUCGAGCCCUUUCUCA
rnacentral:misc_RNA from 1 species